CAUUCGCCCAUUCCAUUCGUGGAACCCUCCCCACUUACCCCAUCAUUCGUGAACGAGCCCUUUGAAGCAAAACCCUUGCCACCGUCGUCCCCAGGUUCCUUGCUACCGUCGUCCCCAGGUUCUCCGUUCUCGGCGUCUCCGCUUCUUCCUCUUUCCCAGGUCCAGAACCCAGGUAGCUCGGCACGUCGUCCACUGGCUUCCCUCUUCGUGGCUUGGAGGUUGGAGCAGCUUGCCGUUUGUCGUCGUCUCACCUGUCGCGUCGUCUCGUCUCUCGCCGGUUGCCGUCCGUUUCUCCGUCGAAGUGACUAGAGCAUUUGAGCCCCGUCUCAUCAGCCAAGAUCCCUCCGUUCCAAGGUUCUGGCUUUGCACACCUACUCUUUUUUGUUAAGAGGUUCAAAAACUCCCCCUGCUUUCUCCACUCAAAACGGCAGAAGCUCAACGCUUUCCUCUCUUUUAAGGAGCCACCACAAGCCACGACAGCCCUUCCUUAUGGUGCUGCAGAAGUCUUGUCCUCACAAUGCUUUCAGAGGCUCCAGUGCUUUACGAUCAGCAGCCAACUUCUUCUCGAGAUCUCUGGAAACGCAGUCCACUUCCUUGAAUCUCCCAAGCGCAGUAGUUUUCUUAGUUGCAGGCUCCAUAAACUCGUUGUCAAGUGGGGUAAUUAGUUGGUGGCCACGGCCGCGGAUGUAUUGGGUGAUUCAGGAGGAAAGAUUGAGACUGGUAAAAAUUAAUAUCUUGCAGGUGAUACUUAAGCGGCAGGAUUUGUCUAUGCGCGCCGGGACGACGGCUUCGAGGAGGGUGGGGUCCAAGGUCCAUGAGAGGGGAGAGUAUUUCGGCAACAACAGUUCUCUAAAGCCAGUGUAGCGUAAGUAGUGAGCACCAAAUCCUUAGCCAUCAACUCCUCAGCCUUGUCCUUUUGUUACCAUAGUACCUCAAAUAAGACAGUGAAUCUGGGAAAAUGUGAUCCUCCAAUUGUGAAAUUCAAGUUGACACCACCGACACUGAAUACACAAUCAGAGUUGGACCAUUACCUUUAUCAAGCGCGACAACGACAAGAGAGAGCAAAGUAAGAGGGAUCUCGUUGUCGCGCUUGAUAAAGGUAAUGGUCCAACUCUGAUUGCGUGUUCAGUGUCGGUGGUGUCAACUUGGAUUUCACAAUUAGAGGAUCACAUUUUUCCAGAUUCACUGUCUUAUUUGAGGUACUAUGGUAACAAAAAGGCAAGGGCUGAGGAGUUGAUGGCUAAGAAUUUGGUGCUCACUACUUAAGCUACACUGGCUGCUUUGGAGAACAAAGGGGCAGAGUCGCCGGUAAAAGAGGUUGUUAGGAGCCGGACAAAGGCAAAUGAUGAUGCACCGCAAUUCCAAGAGGAGGGAGGUGGGCUGUCACCGCCACACCCAUCAAGGAUGGCUACGUGGACGCAUUUGCAUUCAUGAGUUUCCUGGAUUUUGAACCAUUCUCCAAUAGAGAAAGUUGGAACCGGUUCAUUCAGCGUCCCAUAAAUCAAGGCCUCAACAUCGGCCACGAGCGCCUUUGAGGUAUUGAUGAAGGCAAUUUUGUUAAGAAAAACAAAAGACAAUGAAUUGUUAGGGAUGCUACCAAAAACUAUUGAGACUCUAUGCUGAACUUAAGGAAGAAGAACGGAAAGUGUAUAAUUGGAUAAAAGGUGAAGUGAUGCUUUUAAUGAGGAAGGAUACCAAAAGAGUUAAGUUUACUGCUGUACUAAGUACCAUUUUGCAUCUUUGUCAAAGUCUGUGCUGAUGUAGCAUUGUGUCCCAGUGAUCUUGGAAACACAUUCCGUUUAAGUCUUGAAGGUAUAUACUCUCCUUGUCACACAGUAGAGAUAGUAGAUAUUUACUUUGAGCUCGUUUGGGAAGUAACAGAGCUACUUUUUUUUUUUUUAAUUAUGAAAAGUCAUAAUAGGCGUGUUUGGAACUAUUUUAAAGAAAAGCUUAACUUCUCGAAAAGUUAAUUCAUAGCUUUUUGCUCCAUAAGUCAUUCUAUCACUCCCGUAUAAAAUGUUUUCUGUUUCUGCUAUAAAUAUUGGCAUUCCACCACCAUUUUCACGCAAGGUUCCAUCUGCUAGAAGCACUGGCCUUCCACGACUAUUUUCGCAUAAUGAUUCAUGGAAGUAUUGACCUUCCAUCACCGUUUUUAGACAAUGAUCCAUCCACCUACUGCAUAUAUUCUUUCAGGUAUUUUUUUUAUCAUUUUACCACUCUAUUUUUAUUAUUAAAUUUGUAUUUAACAUUGUGUGUGGUAUGAAAUCUCAAUUUUAAUUUUAUUUUUUCACAUGUGAUUUUAUUUUUAUAUAGCUUGGUAUUAUUUUUAUAGUUAGUUAUAGCAAGUUCUCUAUCCCAAUAAAGGAAGAGGGAGUUCUAAUAGGAGAAAAAAAAAAUAAAAAAACAGCAACAAAAUAUACAUUGACACACAUUUUACAUUUGUUUUUUAUUUUCACCUACCAUAUCAUACACAAUAAAACAGCAAACACUAACUACACACUAAUUUCUUUGGCAUUGCCACCAAGAUUAUUGUGAAUUAGAAUUUAUGGGUGAGGUGAAGUAGAAGAACCAGUUUCUAAUGAUAUUAUGUGAGAAGAAUUGAAUGUGAAAGCCCCAGCAAAAUGGAACUAAUAAGAGAACAAAUAAAAAAUCAAUUGUCUAAUCUAUUGUAAUCUUAGUGAUUAGAUUAUAUAAAAUCAACAUUCAAUAUUAAAAAAUAUUUAUUAUCAUCGUUAUUUUAAUAUCUAUUUUCUUGUGUAAAAAAAUUGUAUUUUUUGAGUUAUUUAUCCAAACGCUACAACUUUAAAAUAAGUACUUCUAUCACUAAAAAUCCAAACACAAAAUAGCUUAUAAAUAAGCUGCUAUUAAUAAAAGUCCUUAUACUUUUAGCUCUUCUUCCAAAAAAACUUAUUUAAGUUAUUUAUCUAAAUUGGACUUAGUAGAUUCCUAUAUUCAAUUUAUCAAUGUUUUUCAUGUUUUCUCUUUCUAUUCCAUAAUCCAUAAUUCCAUGUGACUGCUUCAACGUCGUCGCUUACUUUAUUACAGUAAAUUUACAUCCUUCUCAUGAAAUGGAACCUGAGAACAGGAUUUUCACAAAAUUUUAACGCAUGAUGCUGAACUUUUGAUCCUUAAUUUAAAGAGACACCAAACUUACCACUUUAGACUGAGUCAUAAUUCCCGAAAAUUACUGGCACUUCUCUGGAUUAGUGCAGUAUUAGAAUCAGAAUGUUCAACAUAAUUUAGUGUCUGAUGUACAAUUAAUUUCUUUUAUCAAAUUCCAGAGUGCUCAGUGUUUUGAAUCUUGGAAUAUGGAUGAAUUCGUUUUAUUUUCCCUUAAAACAUUUUAAAGAAUAUACAUAGUUCUGUUCGGCUCCUGGUUUCACAAUAUGAAUGAUGUCUUGGUAUGUUGAUUCAGAUAGAAAUAUCUAUUUUCUGUGAUAACUGUGAAGAAGAGGUAAACAUGACGUUUAGUAUACUGUUUUUGAUAAGAUGUUUCCAAUAAUCCACGGUUGUUGCGAAGGCUAGUUGAAACGCUGCAAAAAUGUGAAGCUUAUGAGUGCCCAAUUUGCUCUUCUCCUUCAGCAAACAUCGUUAUCUUCUGCCGAGUCUAUAUUCUGAGAAUUAUACAAUCCAGCGGAUCCCCUCGUUGUCUUCUUUGCUGUAGAGCUCUAUCUGAAUCUGACUUGUUCUCAGCCCCAAUCGAGCCUUCUAGAGCUGAUAGUACCUCUACAUCCUCAUAAUCGGAUCAAGAGUUAUCUUCCAAAUCAUCUGCCUUGAUAAAAUUUCUCAAAGAAUCAAGAGAACAGAAGCCAACAGCAAAAUCGGUUGUGUUUUCACAAUUUCGCAAGGUGUUAGUGUUAUUGGAAGUGCUGUUGAAGGAGGCUGGUUUCAAGACUUUGCGCAUUGAUGGCUUGAUGACGGCUGAACAGAGGACUGGUGUUAUUGAUCAAUUUCAAGACACUAAAGAAAAUGGACCGACCGUUCUGCUUGCAGGCCUUAGGGUUUUAGGUGCAGGUGUAAAUCUCAGCCGCCACCACGGUGUAUUUCAUGGAGCCAUGGUGGAAUGCGGCUGUCGAGGAACAGGCAAUGGAUCGCGUCCAUUGCAUUGGACAGAAAGAGACUAAGGAUUGUUAGAUUGGUUGUUCGUGACAGCAUUGAGGAAAAGAGGCUGAUGUUGCAGGAGGAGAAGAGGGGAAGUCAUUCUGGUAGCCUGAAGUAUAAAGAUCUGAAGUAUAAAGAUCUAAAUUUCCUUAUGUCCAUAGAAUGAUGGUUCCAUUGCUCCAAUUUUGAAUGAGUUGCUUGCAUGUGUAAAUUUUAGGUUUAAUCAGUUUGUGAGGACCUUUAAUUUGAUAGAAAUAGUAUAUACAAAUAUUGACUUUACUUGAUGUAGAUUCCUAAACAGGUAGGGUAUACCAAUUCCAUUUGUUCAUCUAAAAUGAUGUAGUUAUCAAAUUUCUGUUACUAAACAGUUGGAUUAAUCUCAGCAUCACGGUGGUUUACUAAAUAAAUAGUAAAUAGAAAUAUAGAACGAUGGAAUUGAA